GAAUAUUUGAGGGGCGUGACUAUCGCGCUGUGGAGCGGAACGAGUUCACUGAACCUUCGGGGAACGUGAACGGCGUAAAGCGGCGGACGGGUGAGUAAUGCCUGGGAAAUUGCCCUGAUGUGGGGGAUAACCAUUGGAAACGAUGGCUAAUACCGCAUAAUAGCUUCGGCUCAAAGAGGGGGACCUUCGGGCCUCUCGCGUCAGGAUAUGCCCAGGUGGGAUUAGCUAGUUGGUGAGGUAAGGGCUCACCAAGGCAACGAUCCCUAGCUGGUCUGAGAGGAUGAUCAGCCACACUGGAACUGAGACACGGUCCAGACUCCUACGGGAGGCAGCAGUGGGGAAUAUUGCACAAUGGGCGCAAGCCUGAUGCAGCCAUGCCGCGUGUAUGAAGAAGGCCUUCGGGUUGUAAAGUACUUUCAGCAGUGAGGAAGGUUCAUACGUUAAUAGCGUAUGGAUUUGACGUUAGCUGCAGAAGAAGCACCGGCUAACUCCGUGCCAGCAGCCGCGGUAAUACGGAGGGUGCGAGCGUUAAUCGGAAUUACUGGGCGUAAAGCGCAUGCAGGUGGUUUGUUAAGUCAGAUGUGAAAGCCCGGGGCUCAACCUCGGAAUUGCAUUUGAAACUGGCAGACUAGAGUACUGUAGAGGGGGGUAGAAUUUCAGGUGUAGCGGUGAAAUGCGUAGAGAUCUGAAGGAAUACCGGUGGCGAAGGCGGCCCCCUGGACAGAUACUGACACUCAGAUGCGAAAGCGUGGGGGAGCAAACAGGAUUAGAUACCCUGGUAGUCCACGCCGUAAACGAUGUCUACUUGGAGGUUGUGGGCCUUGAGCCGUGGCUUUCGGAGCUAACGCGUUAAGUAGACCGCCUGGGGAGUACGGUCGCAAGAUUUAAAACUCAAAUGAAUUGACGGGGGCCCGCACAAGCGGUGGAGCAUGUGGUUUAAUUUCGAUGCAACGCGAAGAACCCUUACCUACUUCUUGACCAUUCAAGAAGAACUUUUCCAGAGAUGGAAUUGGUGCCUUUCGGGAAACCUCUGAGACAGUGCUGCAUGCUGUCGUCAAGCUCGUUGUUGUGAAAUGUUUGAUUUAAGUUCCCCGCAACGAGCGCUAACCUUAAUCCUUGAUUGGCAAGCCGAGUAUGGUCAGACUCUAGAGACUGCCGGUAUAAUCGGGCAAGGUAAUGCCCGCGA
rnacentral:rRNA from 1 species